AACGAACGCUGGCGGCAUGCCUAACACAUGCAAGUCGAACGAGACCUUCGGAAGUAGUGGCGCACGGGGGCGUCAAGCGGCGGAAGCGGCCCUUAGAUUCGGGAUAACACCCCGAAAGGGGUGAUAAUACAGGGUAAUGUACUCGAACAACACAUAUGACUCACUUGGGUGGGCACGCGAUGGUUUAGCUGGGUGCGAGGGUAAAAGCCUACCAAGGCGUAGCUACAUAGCUGGGCUGAGAGGAUGGUAAGCGACGCUGGGAAGGAGACACGGUCCAGACUCCUACGGGAGGCAGCAGUGGGGAAUAUUGGACAAUCGGCGAAAGGCUGAUCCAGUACUGCCUCGUGAGUGAUUAAGGCCUUAGGGUUGUAAAGCUCGUUUACCCGGGAUGAUAAUGACGGUACCGGGAGAAUAAGCUCCGGCUAACUCCGUG
rnacentral:rRNA from 1 species